AUUGAACGCUGUCGGCAGGCCUCACACAUGCACGUCGAACGAGUGGCGGACGGGUGAGUAAUGUCUGGGACACUGCCUGAUGGAGGGGGAUAACUACUGGAAACGGUAGCUAAUACCGCAUACCCUCAGAGGUGCCCAUAUGGGAUUAUCUAGUUGGUGGGGUAACGGGUCACCAAGGCGACGAUCCCUAGCUGGUCUGAGAGGAUGACCAGGGAGACUGGAAAUGAGAGAAGGUACAGACGCCUACGGGAGGUAGCAGUGGGGAAUAUUGCACAAUGGGCGCAAGCCUGGUGCAGCCAUGCCGCGUGUAUGGAGAAGGCCUUCGGGUUGUAAAGUACUUUAAUCGGGGAGGCGUUACCCGGAGAAGAAGCACCGGCUAACUCCGUGCCAGCCGCCGCGGUAAUUC
rnacentral:rRNA from 1 species